GAUAGACAGAGGGCGCCUUCCAGAGGAUGUCUCAUGUUCCAUGGUCUAAGGAGAGCACUGAGGAUUCCUUGCCUUCUGUAGAACUCCUUUCUGUGUCUUCAUGAAUACAUGUUGCAGAGGAUUUAUUUGAUGAGGUUCCUUAUUCCUCCUUUCCUCGGAUAUCUUUCUCCCUAGAAUGCCUGUCAGGAGCAAGAGUUAUAGGAUGGAAGACUUGCAACGAAUGGUCUGAUCAUUAUGUCCACGUAUGUACUGAUGCCUUCACACAGAUUGUCGUUUCCGGAGACUAUCGGUCUGCCAGUUGGUUUUCUAAAUUCCCAAAUUCAACUUGGUUUCGGAAUAUCUGAAUGUCAGCUAUCUCCUUCUCAAGUUGAGCUGCCAAGUUUAAAAUGAAAGAGUUCGGGCGCAAGCGCAGGUAAGGCAGUCGGGGAGAGAAACCGCUCGUGACGGUGAAAAAAUCUCUAAGUCUUGACGCAUGCGCGAAGCAAGAGCCAAGGCAAACCGAAAGAGCAAGUACACGUCAUCAGAGGAGGACCCGCGACGCAGAGCAGAAACGUCACGGGUAGGCGACGCUAAGUCAUCAAAGGAGGACUGAUGACGCCAACUCGGAAUACCGGAAAUAAACAUCUAUUGACCGCGAAGAGUGCCAAUCAAGCUGAUUCCUGCAGCGAUUGGCUAGAUGACACCCGCCCACACUAAGAGAAGGCAUAAAGCCUUGGAAUAGCCUCA